AGGCAAGAUGGAGGCAUAGCUGC
rnacentral:miRNA from 1 species